UUCUGCUACAAUCUUCACCUCCGAAGUCUCCGCCUCGCCGAUUGCUUCCGCUCGUCGUGUUCAACGAAUACCCUCCUUAUCAAGGGAUGCCUCAAGCACGGGAAGCCUACGGUUCGUCGGCGGCUGAGAUGGCGGUGCUAACAUCUUGUGCGGCGUGAGCCCGACGGGCGCACGUUUCACUUCGUUGUCACAGCGUGCACCCAUUUGUAGAGACGGGGCUCAUCUGUAUGCCCUAAAGUGGAACUCCGUGGUAUUGCAGCCGCACGCAAGGUCUUAGCCAUGGGAUUUCCCUAAUGAACUCCGUGGUAUCAAACUUGCUCUCAUCGGUUGCUCUAAAGAUCCUUGGUUAAUUUAUCUGGCCAAUUGCACAAUCGCCUGAUUAAUGGAUUUCUGUACUUGUGGGUCCACCAUCUGAAAAUAGAUCUCGGCCUACCUAACCAACUUCAGGAUUGCACAUUGAAAUGGUCCGAUUACUCCGAUAGCUCAAGCUUGAAUCAGACUGGUGAUCCUGACCUUUGCCUGGCUUCCCAGUGACAAACAGCACAUUGUGGGACCUUCAUUUUUAGGUUUGCAGAGGGUAUUCAUUUUUCUACGAAGCAGCAGUAGCAGCAGCUUUUGAUUAGAUUUUUAAAGUCAGGAACGGUUGCUCGGAAUUAUGCAGGAGUAACUUUCAAUAUCCAAUCAUGCCACCUUUUGAAUUGUAUCUGCUGUUGAAUUCCAAUAACAGGACAGCACUAAUCCUUACUGUAGACCCACCAGAAGAUUGUAUGCUCUGUAAAGGCCAAGAAUUUUGAUUGAAAAAAGGUCGAGAAUAGCAAAUGUAUCUUGCAAGUGUCAACAUGUGUGGCUCACCUUAAAUUAAGGAAUCUGCUUCUACUUCAUCAGCAUGAUAUCCAGAGACUAAGGCUUGGGCAAGUUGUUACAAGGAUCUCUGGAUUAUCACUUUCUCGGAUAGCAACGAGUAAGAUUUGAUGGAACAGAAAAAGAAUGGCUGUCUCAUAAGAACCAGAGAUGUUUAUUAGAAAACAAAUACCUCUGGUCGACAAGUUACAAAACAUGUGUUGGACAAUGUACAAGUUAUGAGAAUUUGAAUAGAAAGGCUCUGACUUUGGACAAACCGGACACUCUUGGUUAGAAUGAAGUUCGACAUGAUGAUCUAAUAAUGGGUUGACCAUUGGGUAAAUGCGCACACUGGUAUCAGCUCUAAACUUGAUUUCUUGCCAACGAUCAACUACUGGUCAUAUUUCAGAGGUUCUUGAUUUAUUGAAAAAAAAUAUAUGGAGAAUUUUGUUGACACACGGUUCUUUACAGCCAAAUUAACCUUGGAGCAGGUGGCUGCUAUAUUUGCCAGUUUCAGACAAAGGAAAAAAUAUUUGCCAGUGCCUGCACCUAAUAAUACUCUGUUUUAAAAAAGUGAGGUGAAACCUAACAUUUGUCACCAUGAUGUCUCAACCAAAUUAUUGUCUCUUAUGAAAUAAAUUUGGUGGUUGUAAGAAUUUAGCUUAGCAGAGCAGACAAGAUGGGUCGACCAUCAACGUUAUUGCUUCCUACCAAUUUGGAUGCAUACGGAAACAAAUCAUAUGAGCUCUUCAGACAGUCGAAGUGUCCCCAGCAAUUUGGUAGAGUUAGAAAAGGACCAUUUUUUCUGCUCCUGCAACACUUGUUCUUGCAUUAGAUUUCACUUCAGCUGCCACCGUAUAGUAUCACUGUCAUAGUCCUAAAAUUUGAGGGUAGUGUGAUGAUAUAACAUCUGCACCUGCCUCCGUCAUAUCAUAUCAAAUCAAUUAUAUUGUCAUAUUUUUCAUGUUGUUAUAGUAACAUAAAGUAACUUUGAUGAA